GGGAAAGUGGAGGAGAGUCCCUGAGAACACGGUGUGUCUCUGCGGCGCCGUCGAUCAAACCAGCCUCUGAAAGCCUCGGUGUGCAUCUUUAAGACGAGCAAGGCCGUGCGAGGACAGAGCAGGGAGGUUCCUGGAGAGUCUAAAUGUGAGAACCUGGCUCGGGUGGAGGCGGACAAGGAGAAAGGAGAAAAGAGUCGCCAGGAAAGCAGAAAGCAAAGAGGUAGAACGAAGAGUCAGUUGAUAUCAAAUGAACCUGACGGUGUAACUAAACCGCAGCCAAAGACACAGGAGAGAGUUGGUGUCGUUUGCCGGCUCGGAUCCUUCCAACGUCGACGUCACACAGACUAGAUGGUGGAUCAGCUGAUGAAUUUAUACAGAUUUGACAACCAGCCAGAGUAGGAAAAAAAAAACAUAGCGGUAUCAGAUGACAGCUGACAUAUUGAGUGACACAUUUACAUGAGACAGAGAUCAGCAGACUGACACUCAACUGAGCUGUGAGACAGUCCCUCUGGGAAA